rnacentral:lncRNA from 1 species
GGAGAGAGAAACAUUAAAAAAUUAUAGAAAUCUUAUCUCUAUUGUACUUCAGAUUUCAUGUCUGGCUAAUCCGUCCUCUUCAUCUUACUCUCUCACUAACCUCCUUAUCACUCUACACUCAUUCAAUUAGUUAGUUCGGUUAGUUCAAUCUCCUUCCUUCAACUGUUGCGCUCAAGUUUAAGUUUUUACUACCCUCAUCUCUUUCUCAUUUGGCUUACCCUCCUCCAACAACGACGGAGACCUCGUUCCUAUCUACGCCAACAAAGUUGGUCCAUUUCUCAACCCCAGAUUCGUCCCUUUCUUCGAUCUCCUCUUCAUUCGAUCUCAUCCACCCCAAUGGCUUUGCCUUGCACAGAUCCACAUGCAUUCAUUUCAUU